CAUCAGUGAAGCCGGACUCACUUUAAAAACGGGGCAAAACCGAAAAGCCUUACGAGUAGGACUAAU
rfam:Flavobacterium suncheonense GH29-5 = DSM 17707 strain GH29-5 contig4, whole genome shotgun sequence.